rnacentral:miRNA from 1 species
AGUCUGUUUGAUGCUCUUUGAUGCUCUGAUGCCAGGCAUUGACUUCUCUCUAACUAUGAAAGUUUUAGAUGACAUCUUCUUCCAAUAGAAGUCUGUUUUGCUUAUAUUGA